GGCCAGACUCCUACGGGAGGCAGCAGUGGGGAAUAUUGCACAAUGGGGGAAACCCUGAUGCAGCGACGCCGCGUGAAGGAAGAAGUAUUUCGGUAUGUAAACUUCUAUCAGCAGGGAAGAAAAUGACGGUACCUGACUAAGAAGCCCCGGCUAACUACGUGCCAGCAGCCGCGGUAAUACGUAGGGGGCAAGCGUUAUCCGGAUUUACUGGGUGUAAAGGGGGCGCAGACGGCGAUGCAAGCCAGGAGUGAAAGCCCGGGGCCCAACCCCGGGACUGCUCUUGGAACUGCGUGGCUGGAGUGCAGGAGGGGCAGGCGGAAUUCCUGGUGUAGCGGUGAAAUGCGUAGAUAUCAGGAGGAACACCGGUGGCGAAGGCGGCCUGCUGGACUGCGACUGACGUUGAGGCCCGAAAGCGUGGGGAGCAAACAGGAUUAGAUACCCGCGUA
rnacentral:rRNA from 1 species